UCAAGGAAGAAGAACUGACGGUACUUGAGGAAUAAGCCACGGCUAAUUCCGUGCCAGCAGCCGCGGUAAUACGGGAGUGGCAAGCGUUAUCCGGAAUUAUUGGGCGUAAAGCGUCCGCAGGUGGCCCUGUAAGUCUGUCGUUAAAGCGUGGAGCUUAACUCCAUUUAAGCGAUGGAAACUACAGGGCUAGAGUGUGGUAGGGGCAAAGGGAAUUCCCGGUGUAGCGGUGAAAUGCGUAAAUAUCGG
rnacentral:rRNA from 1 species